rnacentral:rRNA from 1 species
UAGGGAAUCUUCCGCAAUGGACGCAAGUCUGACGGAGCAACGCCGCGUGAGUGAAGAAGGAUUUCGGUUCGUAAAACUCUGUUGUUAGAGAAGAACAGCGCAUAGAGUAACUGUUAUGCGUGUGACGGUAUCUAACCAGAAAGCCACGGCUAACUACGUGCCAGCAGCCGCGGUAAUACGUAGGUGGCAAGCGUUGUCCGGAAUUAUUGGGCGUAAAGCGAGCGCAGGCGGUCAAUUAAGUCUGAUGUGAAAGCCCCCGGCUCAACCGGGGAGGGUCAUUGGAAACUGGUGGACUUGAGUGCAGAAGAGGAGAGUGGAAUUCCAUGUGUAGCGGUGAAAUGCGUAGAUAUAUGGAGGAACACCAGUGGCGAAGGCGACUCUCUGGUCUGUAACUGACGCUGAGGCUCGAAAGCGUGGGUAGCAAACAGG